rnacentral:rRNA from 1 species
AUUGAACGCUGGCGGCAGGCUUAACACAUGCAAGUCGAGCGGGCGAGGUUGCUUCGGUAACUGAGCUAGCGGCGGACGGGUGAGUAACGCUUAGGAAUCUGCCUAUUAGUGGGGGACAACAUUCCGAAAGGAAUGCUAAUACCGCAUACGUCCUACGGGAGAAAGCAGGGGAUCAUUUGACCUUGCGCUAAUAGAUGAGCCUAAGUCGGAUUAGCUAGUUGGUGGGGUAAAGGCCUACCAAGGCGACGAUCUGUAGCGGGUCUGAGAGGAUGAUCCGCCACACUGGGACUGAGACACGGCCCAGACUCCUACGGGAGGCAGCAGUGGGGAAUAUUGGACAAUGGGGGGAACCCUGAUCCAGCCAUGCCGCGUGUGUGAAGAAGGCCUUUUGGUUGUAAAGCACUUUAAGUGGGGAGGAGGCUUACCUGGUUAAUACCUGGGCUAAGUGGACGUUACCCACAGAAUAAGCACCGGCUAACUCUGUGCCAGCAGCCGCCGCAG